CCUACGGGAGACAGCAGUGAGGAAUAUUGGUCAAUGGCCGGAAGGCUGAACCAGCCAUGCCGCGUGAAGGUCAGUGCCCUAUGGGCGUUAAACUUCUUUUGUGCGGGAGCAAUAAUGGUCACGUGUGGCCAGACGAGAGUACCGUACGAAUAAGCAUCGGCUAACUCCGUGCCAGCAGCCGCGGUAAUGCGGGGGAUGCAAGCGUUAUCCGGAUUCAUUGGGGUUAAGGGGUGCGUAGGCGGAAUGCCAAGUCAGCGGUAAAAUCGCGGGGCUCAACCUCGCUCCGCCGUUGAAACUGGCGUUCUUGAGUGGGCGAGAGGUAUGCGGAAUGCGAGGUGUAGCGGUGAAAUGCAUAGAUAUCACACAGAACACCAAUUGCGAAGGCGUCUCACGAAUCCGCGAUUGACGCUGAUGCACGAAAGCGUGGGUAGCAAACAGGAUUAGAUACCCUAGUAGUC
rnacentral:rRNA from 1 species